GAUGAACGCUGGCGGCGUGCCUAAUACAUGCAAGUCGAGCGAACGGACGAGAAGCUUGCUUCUCUGAUGUUAGCGGCGGACGGGUGAGUAACACGUGGAUAACCUACCUAUAAGACUGGGAUAACUUCGGGAAACCGGAGCUAAUACCGGAUAAUAUUUUGAACCGCAUGGUUCAAAAGUGAAAGACGGUCUUGCUGUCACUUAUAGAUGGAUCCGCGCUGCAUUAGCUAGUUGGUAAGGUAACGGCUUACCAAGGCAACGAUGCAUAGCCGACCUGAGAGGGUGAUCGGCCACACUGGAACUGAGACACGGUCCAGACUCCGACGGGAGGCAGCAGUAGGGAAUCGUCCGCAAUGGGCGAAAGCCUGACGGAGCAACGCCGCGUGAGUGAUGAAGGUCUUCGGAUCGUAAAACUCUGUUAUUAGGGAAGAACAUAUGUGUAAGUAACUGUGAACAUCUUGACGGUACCUAAUCAGAAAGCCACGGCUAACUAC
rnacentral:rRNA from 1 species